AAGAAAUGCAAGGAAUCGAUCCUCCUACGACUAGCUUCCAAGCCAGCCCCAUAACCACUAUGACUUUCUC
rnacentral:tRNA from 1 species